rnacentral:ncRNA from 2 species
AUAUUUCUAAAUCUCCAAGCCUAUUAACCUAAAGAGCUUCCAUGGUUAUUGGGCCAGGGUUUUAAACCCUCAGGGUAUGUUGGGAAACGGACAUGCCUUCACAUUUGAAAAGGAGGAGUUGCGUGUUAUAC